GGAGGGUAUAGCUCAGUGGUAGAGUGUGUGCUUAGCAUGCAGAAGGUCCUGGGUUCAAUCCCCAGUACCUCCA
rnacentral:tRNA from 1 species